AGGGCUGUGGCAUAGUGGGUAAAGCUGCUGCCUGUGGUGCAGCAUCCUAUAUGGGCACUGGUUCAAGUCCCAGCUGCUUUA
rnacentral:tRNA from 1 species